rnacentral:misc_RNA from 1 species
GAUGAAGAACGUAGUGAAAUGCGAUAAGUAAUGUGAAUUGCAGAAUUCAGUGAAUCAUCGAAUCUUUGAACGCACCUUGCGCUCUUUGGUAUUCCGAAGAGCAUGCCUGUUUGAGUGUCAUGAAAAUAUCAACCUUGACUUGGGUUUUGUGCUCUAGUCUCGGCUUGGAAUUGGGUGCUUGCCGCUUUUACGAGCGGCUCACCUUAAAUGUAUUAGCUGGAUCUGUCUUUGAGACUUGGUUUGACUUGGCGUAAUAAGUAUUUCGCUAAGGACAUUCUUCGGAGUGGCCUCGUCUCUAGGACGCUUGUCCGCUUUCCAAUACAAGUUCCACCUCGUGGACAUGACUUUUUAUUAUCUGGCCUCAAAUCAGGUAGGACUACCCGCUGAACUUAAGCAUAUCAAUAAGCGGAGGA